AAAAACUUAGGUUAACAAGAAACCAAGAGCCUUCAAAGCCCUCAAUAAGGAAACUAAACUCCUUAGUUUUUG
rnacentral:tRNA from 1 species